CAAUAGCGUAUAUUAAAGUUGUUGCAGUUAAAAAGCUCGUAGUUGGAUUUGUGCGUGCCCGCAAUGUCCAUUUUUUGGUACGUUUGUGUGCAUGCAUCCUUGGGUGGAACUUGUGUGGCAUUAGGUUGUCGUGCAGGGGAUGCUCAUCGUUUACUGUGAAAAAAUUAGAGUGUUCAAAGCAGGCUUACGCCGUUGAAUAUAUUAGCAUGGAAUAAUAAGAUAGGACCUCGGUACUAUUUUGUUGGUUUGCGCACUGAGGUAAUGAUUAACAGGGACAGUUGGGGGUAUUCGUAUUCCAUUGUCAGAGGUGAAAUUCUUGGAUUUCUGGAAGACGAACUACUGCGAAAGCAUUUACCAAGGAUGUUUNCAUUAA
rnacentral:rRNA from 1 species